UGGGGAAUUUUGGACAAUGGGCGAAAGCCUGAUCCAGCAAUGCCGCGUGUGUGAAGAAGGCCUUCGGGUUGUAAAGCACUUUUGUCCGGAAAGAAAUCCUUGGCUCUAAUACAGUCGGGGGAUGACGGUACCGGAAGAAUAAGCACCGGCUAACUACGUGCCAGCAGCCGCGGUAAUACGUAGGGUGCAAGCGUUAAUCGGAAUUACUGGGCGUAAAGCGUGCGCAGGCGGUUUGCUAAGACCGAUGUGAAAUCCCGGGCUCAACCUGGGAACUGCAUUGGUGACUGGCAGGCUAGAGUAUGGCAGAGGGGGUAGAAUUCCACGUGUAGCAGUGAAAUGCGUAGAGAUGUGGAGGAAUACCGAUGGCGAAGGCAGCCCCCUGGGCAAUACUGACGCUCAUGCACGAAAGCGUGGGGAGCAAACAGGAUUAGAUACCCUGGUAGUCCACGCCCUAAACGAUGUCAACUAGUUGUUGGGGAUUCAUUUCCUGUAACGUAGCUAACGCGUGAAGUUGACCGCCUGGGGAGUACGGUCGCAAGAUUAAAACUC
rnacentral:rRNA from 1 species